AUGAGGUUCAACACUGAGCAGCCCUGUGACCUUGGCAAGUUACUGUUCCAGGCCUUACAGUUUGGGUCUGUAAAUGGGGAUCAGGAUAACACCACCUCACAAGCUCGAUGGCUGGCACUCAAUGCCAGAAUAGAGACUCAAAAGCCACCUGCCUAUGAUCCAUCUACGCACUGAGCCCUGGACAUUCUCCAAUACAACUCUCAAGAGCUACAGCAAACAGAAAGCCUGCUCCCCACCCUCCCCCCUGCAUGCCUCUCUGGUCACCUUCUCCCAGAUAGGCCCUUCUGUGGUCACAGUGAAGUGAGCUCAAGACCUCCCAAGAGGCCAUCCCCAUCUUCAGCUGUUUGUCCUUAGUUCCCUAGAGGCCUUCCUUGGUGGUUACUAGCCAGGAAGUCCCAGGUACUCUGUGAGAGGGCAGGAAAUGAGACAGUGAGCUUAGGGGUGCUGGGAGAGAUGUCUGAGACAGCCCUAAAGGCCCUGAAGUCUCUCCCAGAACCUGGCCACACAGAUCCAAGGCUCUGGGCUUGACUUGACAGCAGCUACCCAUCAUCUCUCUACUUUGGCCUAAGAUCCUUUCUGCCCAGCUUUUGAAGAGUAGGAAUGUGAGUUUCUCACAAAGCCAGACAGACAUCAGGAAAAGUCAACUUUUCAAGUGGGUUACUUCAGGACAGUAACCCCUAAUUUGGUUUAGCCCAUGCAAAAGCCAUGCUUGCCGCAACUUCAGCCAGACAGAUGAUAGUUUUUUUAGGCAGGAACCUGGGGCUGGGUAGAGGCAGGCCCAGUCUCAAGGAGGAAUCCAGAAAGACAGCUGACUCAAAUCUGCAGGAUUUUCUGGACUCCUGCUAAGGACAGGAGUCUGGAGCUAGUGAUCUCUGUUUCAGGAAAGGCUGCCCAGAUAGCUCCAGCAUUAUAGCAUGCACACAUGUAGGCUGCUGCAGGAUCUGAUAUCUGGGUGCUUCUUGUCCCUCUGUGUGGCCUAAUGGGAGAGCAGAUAUUGGCCUCUGGCCCAAUUCUGGGGCUGGGCUGGUGUGGUGGGGCUCAUAGAGAACAGCAGUAGUAAUGGUGGUGGUGGAAAAACAGACCUAGAUCCCAGGAGAGCUGACAGAAAGGCCGGCCAGGCCCCCCAGAUCACAUCAGCUCAGUGCCAAAGAGAGAUGCCUCAGAGAGGGAGGCAGGCAUGAGCUGGGAGUGGGGUUCUCAGCCAAUAGGCUGAGGGGACACUAAAAACUUCUGAAAAGUUUAGGAAAAGGAGGGGACUGGAGAGGAGGGAAGGGACUUCCAGGAGAAAGCUGAGUGUACAGAGGCCUAUAUGUGGGAAUGCGGAGCUUGGGGAUGGAGGAGCAUACCCUUCAGGCUAGAGUGGGAGCCAUCCUACAGGCCCAUCCUACUGAUAGUGCCAUUAGCUAGCUCACUACAUUAGCUUGCUACUGCCUGGCACCUCUGACCUCCACGGCAACUCAAUAGGUAGCAACCAUUCCACCCCAAAUCCCCUUACAGCCAUGAAGACUGAAGUCCAGACAGGGUUGUGCUAUGAGGUUUUGGCAAGCCCAUGCCUUUAGCCCCUGUCCUGACUCCGCCAUAGGCUGCAAGCCUGGAAUUGAUCUGUUAGACACCUCAAAGAACUUCAGCAAGGCCCUCACAAGACAGAAAGAAAGUAGAUGUCUAUAAGACAGGUGACAUAAACAUAAAGUCACAGUACAAGCAAAGGACUGGGGAGGGUUGCAGCACUUAUAACAAAGGUAUUCAGGAUACAUAAAGACCCAAAAAUCAAUAGGAAAAAAAAUAGAGAGAGAGUAAAAACACAGGCAAAGGCUACAACAGACUCUUCAUAGAAAAGGAAAUAAUGGGUCUGGAGAGAUGGCUUGGUAACUAAGAGCACUCACUCACUGCUCUUUCAUAAGACCUAGUUUUGGUCCCCAGCACCCACACUGGGUGGCUCAUAACCACUAGUAACUCCAGUCCCAAGAGUCUGAUGAUCCCUUCUGACCUCCAAGGGUGACAGACACACAGGUGGUGCACAUACAUACCUGCAGGUGAACACUCAUACACAUAAAAUAAAAAUAAAUAAAUCUUAAAAUUAAUUUAAUAA
rnacentral:lncRNA from 1 species